rnacentral:rRNA from 1 species
GAUGAACGCUGGCGGCGUGCCUAAUACAUGCAAGUCGAGCGAACAGACUAGGAGCUUGCUCCUCUGACGUUAGCUGCGGACGGGUGAGUAACACGUGGAUAACCUACCUAUAAGACUGGGAUAACUUCGUGAAACCGGAGCUAAUACCGGAUAAUAUAUUGAACCGCAUGGUUCAAUAGUGAAAGACGGUUUUGCUGUCACUUAUAGAUGGAUCCGCGCCGCAUUAGCUAGUUGGUAAGGUAACGGCUUACCAAGGCAACGAUGCGUAGCCGACCUGAGAGGGGGAUGGGCCACACUGGAACUGAGACACGGUCCAGACUCCGACGGGAGGAAGCAGUAGGGAAUCUUCCGCAAUGGGCGAAAGCCUGACGGAGCAACGCCGCGUGAGUGAUGAAGGUCUUCGGAUCGUAAAACUCUGUUAUUAGGGAAGAACAAAUGUGUAAGUAACUAUGCACGUCUUGACGGUACCUAAUCAGAAAGCCACGGCUAACUACGUG